rnacentral:rRNA from 1 species
AAUGAACGUUGGCGGCAUGGAUUAGGCAUGCAAGUCGCGCGAUAAGAUUCCUUCGGGAAUCCGAAAGCGGCGAAAGGGAGAGUAACGCGUAGAUGAUCUACCCCGAGGACUGGGAUAGCGGCGGGAAACUGCCGGUAAUACCAGAUGAUGUCUCCGGACCAAAGGUGUGAUUCCGCCUUGGGAUGAAUCUGCGUCCUAUUAGCUAGUUGGUGAGGUAACGGCUCACCAAGGCGAAGAUGGGUACCGGGUGUGAGAGCAUGACCCGGCUCACUGGGACUGAGACACUGCCCAGACACCUACGGGUGGCUGCAGUCGAGAAUCUUCGGCAAUGGGCGAAAGCCUGACCGAGCAAUGCCGCGUGCGGGAUGAAGGCCUU